GGUGAACGCUGGCGGCGUGCCUAAUACAUGCAAGUCGAGCGAACAGACGAGGAGCUUGCUCCUCUGACGUUAGCGGCGGACGGGUGAGUAACACGUGGAUAACCUACCUAUAAGACGGGGAUAACUUCGGGAAACCGGAGCUAAUACCGGAUAACAUGUUGAACCGCAUGGUUCAACAGUGAAAGACGGUCUUGCUGUCACUUAUAGAUGGAUCCGCGCCGCAUUAGCUAGUUGGUAAGGUAACGGCUUACCAAGGCAACGAUGCGUAGCCGACCUGAGAGGGUGAUCGGCCACACUGGAACUGAGACACGGUCCAGACUCCUACGGGAGGCAGCAGUAGGGAAUCUUCCGCAAAGGGCGAAAGCCUGACGGAGCAACGCCGCGUGAGUGAAGAAGGUCUUCGGAUCGUAAAACUCUGUUAUUAGGGAAGAACAAAUGUGUAAGUAACUAUGCACGUCUUGACGGUACCUAAUCAGAAAGCCACGGCUAACUACGUG
rnacentral:rRNA from 1 species